rnacentral:rRNA from 1 species
CUGAAUAACUAUGCUGAUCGCACAGUCCUCGUACUGGCGAUGUAUCUUUCAAAUAUCUGCCUUAUCAACUGUCGAUGGUAGCUUACACGACUACCAUGGUUGUAACGGGUAACGGAGAAUUAGGGUUCGACUCCGGAGAGGGAGCCUGAGAAACGGCUACCACAUCCAAGGAAGGCAGCAGGCACGCAAAUUACCCACUCCCGGAAAGGGGAGGUAGUGACGAAAAAUAGCGAGACGGUUCUCUUUGAGGCCCGUCAUCGAAAUGGGUACAAUUUAAAUCCUUUAACGAGGAUCUAUUGGAGGGCAAGUCUGGUGCCAGCAGCCGCGGUAAUUCCAGCUCCAAAAGCGUAUAUUAAAGUUGUUGCGGUUAAAAAG